rnacentral:rRNA from 1 species
UACGGGGGGAGCAAGCGUUGUUCGGAUUUACUGGGCGUAAAGCGCACGUAGGCGGCUUUGCAAGUUAGAGGUGAAAGCCCGGGGCUCAACUCCGGAAUUGCCUUUAAAACUGCAUCGCUAGAAUUGUGGAGAGGUAAGUGGAAUUCCGAGUGUAGAGGUGAAAUUCGUAGAUAUUCGGAAGAACACCAGUGGCGAAGGCGACUUACUGGACACAUAUUGACGCUGAGGUGCGAAAGCGUGGGGAGCAAACAGG